UACAGAGGUCCCAAGCGUUGUUCGGAUUCAUUGGGCGUAAAGGGUGCGUAGGUGGCGCCGUAAGUGGGGUGUGAAAUUUCGGAGCUUAACUCCGAAACUGCAUUCCAUACUGCGGUGCUUGAGGACUGGAGAGGAGACUGGAAUUCAUGGUGUAGCAGUGAAAUGCGUAGAGAUCAUGAGGAAGACCAGUGGCGAAGGCGGGUCUCUGGACAGUUCCUGACACUGAGGCACGAAGGUCAGGGGAGCAAACGGG
rnacentral:rRNA from 1 species